rnacentral:misc_RNA from 1 species
CCCUUAAUGGCCUUGGUAAGGCAAUACAAUAUGCAUUUUCCAAAAAGUUUGAUGUUUUGAGUGUACGAUAGAAUGAGUUUAAGUUUAUAUUUUAAGUGCAUAAUAGACCAAGUCUAAAAAAGAAAAACUCCUGUAUAUGCACUCGCGCAACAAGGCUAACGUGGCUUGUUGAAAACAUCAUGGUUUUAAUAAAGGAUACGUCUCUGGCGGGGGUCAUUUUCUAGUGCUAAAUUAAAAUCUAAUUAACAUUUAUUGAAUUAACU